rnacentral:rRNA from 1 species
UGGGGAAUAUUGGACAAUGGGCGAAAGCCUGAUCCAGCCAUGCCGCGUGUGUGAAGAAGGCCUUCGGGUUGUAAAGUACUUUCAGCGAGGAGGAAGGCGGUAAGGUUAAUAACCUUAUCGAUUGACGUUACUCGCAGAAGAAGCACCGGCUAACUCCGUGCCAGCAGCCGCGGUAAUACGGAGGGUGCAAGCGUUAAUCGGAAUUACUGGGCGUAAAGCGCACGCAGGCGGUCUGUCAAGUCGGAUGUGAAAUCCCCGGGCUCAACCUGGGAACUGCAUUCGAAACUGGCAGGCUAGAGUCUUGUAGAGGGGGGUAGAAUUCCAGGUGUAGCGGUGAAAUGCGUAGAGAUCUGGAGGAAUACCGGUGGCGAAGGCGGCCCCCUGGACAAAGACUGACGCUCAGGUGCGAAAGCGUGGGGAGCAAACA